GCUGAUUGGUUGUUGCAACGC
rnacentral:siRNA from 1 species